UUGGCCCCUCUAUGGCAAUGAGGGUUGCGGGUGGGCGGGAUGGCUCCUGUCUCCCCGUGGCUCUCGGCCUAGCUGGGGCCC
rfam:Hepatitis C virus genotype 1, complete genome